rnacentral:rRNA from 1 species
UACGUAGGGGGCAAGCGUUGUCCGGAUUUAUUGGGCGUAAAGAGCGUGUAGGCGGCCAGACAGGUCCGUUGUGAAAACUCGAGGCUCAACCUCGAGACGUCGACGGAAACCGUCUGGCUAGAGUCCGGAAGAGGAGUGUGGAAUUCCUGGUGUAGCGGUGAAAUGCGCAGAUAUCAGGAAGAACACCUAUGGCGAAGGCAGCACUCUGGGACGGUACUGACGCUGAGACGCGAAAGCGUGGGUAGCAAACAGG